rnacentral:lncRNA from 1 species
AUACAAUGCAAUAUUCACUUUUGUUACCAACUGAUAAAUUAAAACAAUUUUUGCCAUUCAGUGAUUACAAGCACUUUGAUUACCAUUCUAGGGUAAUACCUCUUUACAAGUGGAAAAAUUGAAGAUUUUUUUCGUUUCUGUUCUCUUAACUUAAGUUUGUCUCAACUAAAUUUAAUGAAAUGUUUAUAUAAUUCUUAGUACCUCUAAACUCAG